AGGACUUAGCUAGCACUACAUUUGGUGUUGAUACUGCACAAGAUACUGCUAGAGGAGAUGAGCAACCUUGUAUGGCACAACUAUCGAGCAUAUAGUACAUGCAGAACAAGUUAUUGGAGUUGAUGUGCACACACAUAUGCAUGAGACAGGUGGAUCUGGUCCACGUCCAGGGGAGAAGAGACCACGAGAUGUUAUUGAUGAUAGCACUUAGAUUUUACUGUUUAUUUGGCUCUGAUAUGAUGUACAUGUACUAUUUUAUAUGAUAUGUACUUUUUU